rnacentral:rRNA from 1 species
UACGUAGGGUGCAAGCGUUGUCCGGAAUUAUUGGGCGUAAAGAGCUCGUAGGCGGUCUGUCGCGUCGGCUGUGAAAACCUGGGGCUCAACCCCAGGCCUGCAGUCGAUACGGGCAGACUAGAGUCCGGCAGGGGAGACUGGAAUUCCUGGUGUAGCGGUGAAAUGCGCAGAUAUCAGGAGGAACACCGGUGGCGAAGGCGGGUCUCUGGGCCGUAACUGACGCUGAGGAGCGAAAGCAUGGGGAGCGAACAGG